GACGAACGCUGGCGGCGUGCUUAACACAUGCAAGUCGAACGGAAAGGCCCUGCUUUUGUGGGGUGCUCGAGUGGCGAACGGGUGAGUAACACGUGAGUAACCUGCCCUUGACUUUGGGAUAACUUCAGGAAACUGGGGCUAAUACCGGAUAGGAGCUCCUGCUGCAUGGUGGGGGUUGGAAAGUUUCGGCGGUUGGGGAUGGACUCGCGGCUUAUCAGCUUGUUGGUGGGGUAGUGGCUUACCAAGGCUUUGACGGGUAGCCGGCCUGAGAGGGUGACCGGCCAAAUGGGAACGGGGUUACGGCCCGAACCCUACGGGGAGGCAGAGGUGGGGAUAAUGGCACAUGGGGCGGAGGCCUGAGGCAGAAACGCGGGGGGGGGGAUAAGGGCUUUGGGGUUGAAAACCGCUUCCGCUUGGGACGAAGGUUGGGGACGGUUAUUGGUAAAGAAGCACCGGCUAACUACGUG
rnacentral:rRNA from 1 species